rnacentral:tRNA from 1 species
GACGUCUUACCUCAGUUGGUAGAGUACACGCGCUACUAAUGCGUGGGUGGCUACCAUGCGUGAGUUCCAGUCUCGCCGGGGUUA